CACCUGCACGAGACCGCUCGAGCACCGCGAGCAGAAUAUUUUAGUCAUCCGUCGCAUUGGUUCAGUUACCCGUUGUGAACCCGUCGCAGUGAAAAUGAUCGAAUACACCGUGGGCGCCUUUUUGGUCGUUGUACUAAUGGUCAAAGGAACCCCGAUGCGGUUAAUCCGGUGCAUUAUAAGUACGUUACGGCAAGAAUCUCGUGUCACUUCAACAUCUGACCUCGUGAAAUGUUCUGACGAGGAAACAGAAACUGAGCGUGUCCUCACCGCCGAGGAAGGAACACAGGCUCCCCGCCUGAGAGGUCUCCUGUGAGGAGCAAGAAGAGCUGUACGCCAUGGUGGCUGCUAUUCUUAGCGGCAUUUACGCUCUGUGUGCUGGGCAUCCUGAUCGUAACUACCGCCCUUAACCAUAUCUCUCAGCUGUCCUAACUUGCCCAGACAUGCCAUGAUGACGUCACAGAAUGUCCGGAACUGGUGGUCAUAGCUGCGAUGCUUUGCAACCUGCCUCUGUGCUCCGUCGCCCAGCGAUGGUCAACGGCCGUUCCGGACCGCUUUCUUCACGGCUAUCUCUAUCUAUUUUUUUUGUGACCACGAUUAUCCGGAAACGCACAGCUGGUCUGGACACGAGUUAGACGCUCCCUAAUUAGUGUGGUGACUCCCUGGAGGGUGCUGAUUACUGUGGGGGUCCCAAUUAGCUCAAAUUGAUUAAUUAAUCAUGUUUAGACGAAGAUGUGCGUUUCCGGAUAAACCUGGUCAGUACUUACUACUCAUUCCGCGGUAUACCCCCUUUCUCACUGAUAUGCGAAUUCCAGAAUUUAGCAUGGUGUGUAAUAUAAGUGUAAUCGAGGUGUAUUGGUUCAUUACAGCCAGUUUGCACCAACAUGGGUGCUUACUCGAACUAAACUUUUAUUUGAUGUGCCCAUGAACAGCGGCAGCCUUAUUAAUGGUGCACAAGUCAACUGAUUGAUAAGAAAUGGACGCAUUAACGUUAAAAAAUCAACAUGCGUAGAACAUUUCAUAUAGGAAGCAAGCAUACGUGGCAGUGGCGAGAAAGUCUGGCAAAAUCUAAAAUCAGAAAGAACGCUGUUACGAAGAGUUCGCACAGGGAGACGUAUUGGAAUUGUGGAGGUCAAGGAGGUCAAUUCAAUGUAGUGAAAUAAGAGCAACAUUCUGGGACACCCCCUCUGAAACCCGGCUUGACCUGAUAGCAGAGGACUACACAAGGAAGCCAAGUUUACAGGGUGGUGCGUGAGUACGCGAAGAGUAAGAUUUGUGCAGGGAGAGGAGGACAGAUCUGAGGCGAACAAUUCCCUUUUCGCGCCCCCACCUGACAACAACACCGAUAAGACGCCCGGGAGCUUUCAGAUAAAGAAUAAGACGUGAUGUAUAACUGUGGGAACCAGCAUGGGAGUUUCCAGAUAUCGGGUGAUUGCCGGAUUUAAUUUGUAUGUUGGCGCCUGUGAUAGCUUUCUGGACGGCAAAUUGACUAGAUGCGAGUUCUAAGGGUGCAGCAAGGAAAGCAGCUACGGUCCGCAGACGAUACACAGACUACGUAAUUCUAUUAUGAUACCGUGGGAUUACUCUGGUUUACACUUCGCAAAAUAAACUUCGAGACUAAACUCCUCGAAAUAAAUCACGAAAAUAUCCACGGCGUAAAGAUAAAGCCGUAAAAGUCAACUUUUGCGAUACAAACGCUUCAGAUUCAAUCGUCUCUGAUUGGUCGACAGGCACGACAGCCUCAGAGCAGCGAAGGCUUUUGGCUCCCGCGUCUCAAAAUAGUUCCCCGCAGGGUGAGGCUUUUUGCGGUGGGCUGGGAAGGCUGGGAACGAGAGUACCGAGUCUGGACGAAUCGUUUACUGUAUUCACCGCCGGCUAUCAUGAUUCUGUUGACAGUGCAGUUCAUGCUUUGUUCUGCUGCUCGCCUGUCAAAUUUGAGUAUCUCGAACUCUGAAUUCGUGUCGUGUCACCAAAUGAGUUCCCGGUGUUGGUUCCAGCUAUGGUGGACACCUGCUAUAUUAUGAACAUUGUCGCGAACAUCGCCAUUCUCCUGCAGGGCUGCCUUGGUUGUGAAAUUGUAGAGUUGAAAAGUGACGAUCGACGGAAAAGCCUGAUUCCCGUACCGUGUGGAUGUGUUGUGUUUGUCCUUCUGUAUGUGUUUGUGUGUGUUCCAGCCUCAGAACUGUAGAAUCGUGAAAUGGGAACUUGCCUGUGGUUUUCCUUGUGAGCCUACGUUCUGAUAAAUGCAGAAAACAGGUACUGGACAGACUCUCGAAAUGCAUUUCUGCAAAUAAGCUACAUAUGAAUGAGAAGAAAUUGUUUGUUUGUUUGCAAGAAAAAAACUAUUUUCUCUCGGAUGA